AGUUAUGGCGGCUUUGCGUGGGAGACCUCAGGGUCUGCCGGUUUCGAAUUCACCGGUUCGCCAACCCGCGCAUAGCUGCCACCCUU
rnacentral:antisense_RNA from 3 species